rnacentral:rRNA from 1 species
AUUGAACGCUGGCGGCAGGCCUAACACAUGCAAGUCGAGCGGUAGAGAGGUGCUUGCAUCUCUUGAGAGCGGCGGACGGGUGAGUAAUGCCUAGGAAUCUGCCUAGUGGUGGGGGAUAACGUUCGGAAACGGACGCUAAUACCGCAUACGUCCUACGGGAGAAAGCGGGGGAUCUUCGGACCUCGCGCCAUUAGAUGAGCCUAGGUCGGAUUAGCUAGUUGGUGAGGUAAUGGCUCACCAAGGCGACGAUCCGUAACUGGUCUGAGAGGAUGAUCAGUCACACUGGAACUGAGACACGGUCCAGACUCCUACGGGAGGCAGCAGUGGGGAAUAUUGGACAAUGGGCGAAGCCUGAUCCAGCCAUGCCGCGUGUGUGAAGAAGGUCUUCGGAUUGUAAAGCACUUUAAGUUGGGAGGAAGGGUAGUAACCUAAUACGUUGCUACUUUGACGUUACCGACAGAAUAAG